AAGCAACAUCAGCAUCAUCAGCAGGAAGAAGAGUCCCGUCGAGAUGUCCAGAGACGUCGAAGCUCUGGCAGUGGGUGAGAAACAGCUCCUUCCAUGCGUCAUAGUUACCAUCAUCAAUGUCGAGAAGGAAGGGAAUGUAGUGCUUGAUGUUGGUGACGCCAUAGGCGCGUUCGUGUGGAAGAACAGGAGCGGCCAUUGUUUG
rnacentral:lncRNA from 1 species